GGGAGUGUCUGGGUGGAGGGAGCACUGCAGAGAUGUUUUCAGAAGGCCAGAUUACCAAUAUCCUCUCAUUAGGGGCCACACAGUUCAGAAUGAAGCUGAUGAAUAAAAUGCUGUUUGGAAGCAUCGUGAGUCUGAGUCUGGCUCCGUGUGCAGUUGGAAUGUUGUGGCUCCAAGUGAGAGUGCUGCUGACUGUGUGUGGCACAAGGAUAGUUUCUGGUGGCUCACUUGGCAAAUACAGCCUGGUGAUUGGACAUCCAGGAUGAACUUUGUGCCCUUCAAGAGGAUUAGGGAACAAGUCUGAGCUGAUAUGACAAACACAGCACAGUGGUAUCUCGUUGGAGAGAAGCUCAGUUUUUGUUAAAUAUGUGUAAGAAGUUCA